UUUAUGGAGAGUUUGAUCCUGGCUCAGGAUGAACGCUGGCGGCGUGCCUAAUACAUGCAAGUCGAGCGAACGGACGAGAAGCUUGCUUCUCUGAUGUUAGCGGCGGACGGGUGAGUAACACGUGGAUAACCUACCUAUAAGACUGGGAUAACUUCGGGAAACCGGAGCUAAUACCGGAUAAUAUUUUGAACCGCAUGGUUCAAAAGUGAAAGACGGUCUUGCUGUCACUUAUAGAUGGAUCCGCGCUGCAUUAGCUAGUUGGUAAGGUAACGGCUUACCAAGGCAACGAUGCAUAGCCGACCUGAGAGGGUGAUCGGCCACACUGGAACUGAGACACGGUCCAGACUCCUACGGGAGGCAGCAGUAGGGAAUCUUCCGCAAUGGGCGAAAGCCUGACGGAGCAACGCCGCGUGAGUGAUGAAGGUCUUCGGAUCGUAAAACUCUGUUAUUAGGGAAGAACAUAUGUGUAAGUAACUGUGCACAUCUUGACGGUACCUAAUCAGAAAGCCACGGCUAACUACGUGCCAGCAGCCGCGGUAAUACGUAGGUGGCAAGCGUUAUCCGGAAUUAUUGGGCGUAAAGCGCGCGUAGGCGGUUUUUUAAGUCUGAUGUGAAAGCCCACGGCUCAACCGUGGAGGGUCAUUGGAAACUGGAAAACUUGAGUGCAGAAGAGGAAAGUGGAAUUCCAUGUGUAGCGGUGAAAUGCGCAGAGAUAUGGAGGAACACCAGUGGCGAAGGCGACUUUCUGGUCUGUAACUGACGCUGAUGUGCGAAAGCGUGGGGAUCAAACAGGAUUAGAUACCCUGGUAGUCCACGCCGUAAACGAUGAGUGCUAAGUGUUAGGGGGUUUCCGCCCCUUAGUGCUGCAGCUAACGCAUUAAGCACUCCGCCUGGGGAGUACGACCGCAAGGUUGAAACUCAAAGGAAUUGACGGGGACCCGCACAAGCGGUGGAGCAUGUGGUUUAAUUCGAAGCAACGCGAAGAACCUUACCAAAUCUUGACAUCCUUUGACAACUCUAGAGAUAGAGCAUUCCCCUUCGGGGGACAAAGUGACAGGUGGUGCAUGGUUGUCGUCAGCUCGUGUCGUGAGAUGUUGGGUUAAGUCCCGCAACGAGCGCAACCCUUAAGCUUAGUUGCCAUCAUUAAGUUGGGCACUCUAAGUUGACUGCCGGUGACAAACCGGAGGAAGGUGGGGAUGACGUCAAAUCAUCAUGCCCCUUAUGAUUUGGGCUACACACGUGCUACAAUGGACAAUACAAAGGGCAGCGAAACCGCGAGGUCAAGCAAAUCCCAUAAAGUUGUUCUCAGUUCGGAUUGUAGUCUGCAACUCGACUACAUGAAGCUGGAAUCGCUAGUAAUCGUAGAUCAGCAUGCUACGGUGAAUACGUUCCCGGGUCUUGUACACACCGCCCGUCACACCACGAGAGUUUGUAACACCCGAAGCCGGUGGAGUAACCUUUUAGGAGCUAGCCGUCGAAGGUGGGACAAAUGAUUGGGGUGAAGUCGUAACAAGGUAGCCGUAUCGGAAGGUGCGGCUGGAUCACCUCCUUUCU
rnacentral:rRNA from 1 species